AUGGCGAUGUGCACAUCAGUCAAUAGUCACAGAGCUAAGACACAUGGUGCGGCCAGAAGGGUGGCCAAGGGAGGCAUCUACCGGGGGAGGAGGCACCUAUCCACCUCUCAUGCAUGGAUGGAAUCCAAUGUCAACACAAUGGGAGCAGGCACGUGGCUAAUAUAUGCUACUGUAGGCCACAUGUGGAUACCAGGGAGCCAAGUGGGCACGGGAACAGAUUUUAAAGAACUUUCUUGUUGCCAGCCGCAGAACUUAACAAAAUUUAAAGAACUUUUUUGUCAGCGGCCACAUAACUUAACACUGUUAUUUAGAGCCUUCACUACGAGACUUGAGUGUUAUUGA
rnacentral:rRNA from 1 species